GGAUUAGAUACCCGGGUAGUCCACGCCGUAAACGAUGAGUGCUAAGUGUUAGAGGGUUUCCGCCCUUUAGUGCUGCAGCUAACGCAUUAAGCACUCCGCCUGGGGAGUACGGUCGCAAGACUGAAACUCAAAGGAAUUGACGGGGGCCCGCACAAGCGGUGGAGCAUGUGGUUUAAUUCGAAGCAACGCGAAGAACCUUACCAGGUCUUGACAUCCUCUGACAACCCUAGAGAUAGGGCUUUCCCCUUCGGGGGACAGAGUGACAGGUGGUGCAUGGUUGUCGUCAGCUCGUGUCGUGAGAUGUUGGGUUAAGUCCCGCAACGAGCGCAACCCUUGAUCUUAGUUGCCAGCAUUCAGUUGGGCACUCUAAGAUGACUGCCGGUGACAAACCGG
rnacentral:rRNA from 1 species